AUGAUCCGGCAAGACGACAUCGAUGAUCUGGUCGAGGGGGGACUGAUUCCCCACGGAUCGGGGCCGCUCCCGGAGGACGAGACCGAGCCGCGGCCGCAGGAGGGUGAGUGUGUCCUCCUCGCCACCCAUGUCGACCGCGGUUUUUCUUUGCCUCCCCAUCCUUUCUUCCGAGGCUUUUUGAACUUCUUUGGAGCACAACUUCAUCACUUUUCCCCCAACACCAUCGUGUACCUCGCUGCAUUCGUGUCCAUGUGCAAGAAUUUCCUGGGUUCUCGACCACACUGGGGUCUUUUGAAACACAUUUUCACCUGUCGUUCUCAGUCUAUCAAAAAGGCCAAUCCGAGUGACGAGAGGACACAUGUGAUCCAGAUGUGUGCGGGUCUUGGGAUCCAAAUGAGAGGUAAGAUUACUUUCCCAGCCAUGAUUCUUCCCGAGUCAGUCAGAGGGUGGCAGUCGGCCUGGUUCUACUACAAAGACCAGCCGACUCCAGGCCAGUCGACUGGGCUUCCCCCCUUUUCCAUGGCUCGAGUCGAGAAACCCUCUGCCUUGAAAGUGACUCCGGCGGAGAAAGAGGAGGUGAAGGUGCUGGUCGAGCGAGUGGUCCAGCUCGUUCGUCAUGGCGUGACUGGCAUGGAUCUGCUAGAAGUCUUCCUUAGACGACACAUUCAGCCGCUUCAAGCUCGUGACCAUCUGAUGUGGAUGUAUUCGGGAAUCGAUGAUACCACUCAGAUCCACCCAGAGGAAGUCGACGAGGAUACGGUGGAGCAGUGGUUGACGGGCAUCACUGGCAACAAGGAUAACCCCAGGGGGUCCAGGAGGAUCCCUCCACUCAACAACUCGUAUGAACCAGACAAGGCCCUCACUGAGAUGUACUCGAUGCCCAACGGAGAGCAGGAGCAGUAUCCGCAAGGGGAGGCGAGCGGAGGCGAGAGCGGCGAGUGGCACUCUGAUGGGGGAGAAGACGACGAAAGCGACGACUCUGAUGACGGUGAAGAAGUCGACUCGCCCCCUCGCACCGAAAGGCGAUCCAAACAAACUCACGACCAGGCAAGUAUCCGUGGUAAAGCGACUGCGCAGACUGGACGGACCUCAAAGCGCCCUCAGAUGCCUUCCUCAGUGCCGACUGAGAAGGCCCCGACGCAAUCAAAAGCUACGCCGUCAAAACCGCAGAAGGCCUUGCCCAAGAUCAAAGUGGUCAUUCCCAUUGCUUCCGGUGCUGCUACCUCUGGGACUUCAGCUUACAUGAAUGAAGACGAGGAAAUGGAAGAUGCGGUCACCUCUAACUCGGCUCCUCCCAAUGUCAUUGACCUUCCAGACGAUGACGAGGAUGUGCCGCUGACGCCUAUGGGAAGAAGAAACAGGAAGACGUCAACUGGCAAAGCGCCUCAGUCGAGCCGGUGA
rnacentral:rRNA from 1 species